CGAAGGCUCGAACAAAGGCGGGGCUCACAGCGCAACUCACAUAGGCAGACCAAGCUCAUGGAACCACCUACGUUUACAAAAUCCAGCAUGUAUAAUAUUGGGACGUUUUGCAGUGUUGACAUUUUCAAUUCGGAAAUAAAGAGUUUCAGUCAAUGGUUCGAAAAUUGAUUGACUAUGGUCAAAUUGUUAUAGUGAAAAUGGAAUUGGGUUUGUUGCUCAUGAUGAAAUACUAAAAUGCAUAUUCAUUUUCAUAUGUUGAGUUAACUUGAUCAUACCAAACAAAUGCACCCUAUAAUUGGGUUCGGUAGAGUUCAAUUACAAUUUCAUGCAGUAGAUUCAGAGUUUGUGGGUAUGCUUUUCGUAUGUAUAACAAUGAAGGAAUUGAAUGCAUUAGUCAACAUUUGAAUCUAAUAAUGAAGAAUUUUAGUUGAGAAA